rnacentral:rRNA from 1 species
UACAGAGGUCCCAAGCGUUGUUCGAAUUCACUGGGCGUAAAGGGUGCGUAGGUGGUUGGGUAAGUUUGAUGUGAAAUCUCCGGGCUUAACCCGGAAACUGCAUUGAAUACUAUCUGGCUAGAGGGUUGGAGGGGGGACUGGAAUACUUGGUGUAGCAGUGAAAUGCGUAGAUAUCAAGUGGAACACCAGUGGCGAAGGCGAGUCCCUGGACAACUCCUGACACUGAGGCACGAAAGCUAGGGGAGCAAACAGG